UCCCGGGAAACUGGGAUUAAUCCGUGAUAGGUCAUCUCAUCUGGAAGGAGAGAUGGCUUAAAGGGGUGCCCGGGCUUCUUCUGCGCAUUCGCUCCAGGAUGGGACUGCGUCCGAUCAGGCUGUUGGCGGGGUAAUGGCCCACCAAACCUGUAACCGGUACGGGCCUUGAGAGAGGUGGCCCGGAGAUGGACACUGAGAGAAGGGUCCAGGUCCUACGGGGCGCAGCAGGCGCGAAACCUUCGCAAUGCGCGAAAGCGUGACGAGGUUAAUCCGAGUGGCCCCCGCUGAGGGGGUCUUUUGUCAGCUGUAAAUAGGCGGGCGAAUAAGGGGAGGGCAAGCCUGGUGUCAGCCGCCGCGGUAAUACCAGCUCCUCGAGUGGUCGGGGCGAUUAUUGGGCCUAAAGCAUCCGUAGCCGGUUCCGUAGGUCCUCUGUUAAAUCCAACCGCUUAACGGUUGACCUGCAGAGGAUACCGCGGGACUAGGAGGCGGGAGAGGCGGACGGUACUCCGCGUGUAGGGGUAAAAUCCUUUGAUCCGCGGAAGA
rnacentral:rRNA from 1 species